rnacentral:rRNA from 1 species
CAGAGACCCCAAGCAUUAUCCGGAUUUAUUGGGCGUAAAGGGUGUGUAGGUGGUUUUGUAAGUCAUUUGUUAAAUCUUCAGGCUCAACCUGGAGGCUGCAGGUGAUACUACAAGGCUAGAGUAUGGGAGAGGUAAGCGGAAUGCCCGGUGUAGCGGUAAAAUGCGUUAAUAUCGGGUAGAACACCAAAGGCGAAAGCAGCUUACUGGAACAUUACUGACACUGAAACACGAAAGCGUGGGUAGCGAAAGGGAUUAGAUACCCCUGUAGUCCACGCCGUAAACGAUGAUCACUAGAUUUUGGGAGUAUCGACCCUCCCAGAGUCGUCGAAACAAGCUAACGCGUUAAGUGAUCCGCCCGGGAAGUACGAUCGCAAGAUUA